UACACACCGCCCGCCACACCAUGGGAGUCAGUUGCUCCAGAAACGGCUGCGCUAACCCGCAAGGGGGGCAGGUCUUUAAGGAGUGACUGGUAACUGGGGUG
rnacentral:rRNA from 1 species